CGUGACCGUCGCGACUGGCGUUGGGUGGGUCACCACCGGGGAGCGACCACAACGGCUAUCGACCGCACGCCUGGGUCGGGGUU
rnacentral:ncRNA from 2 species